rnacentral:rRNA from 1 species
UGGGGAAUAUUGGACAAUGGGCGAAAGCCUGAUCCAGCCAUGCCGCGUGUGUGAAGAAGGUCUUCGGAUUGUAAAGCACUUUAAGUUGGGAGGAAGGGCAGUAAGCGAAUACCUUGCUGUUUUGACGUUACAGACAGAAUAAGUACCGGCUAACUCUGUGCCAGCAGCCGCGGUAAUACAGAGGGUGCAAGCGUUAAUCGGAAUUACUGGGCGUAAAGCGCGCGUAGGUGGUUCGUUAAGUUGAAUGUGAAAGCCCCGGGCUCAACCUGGGAACUGCAUCCAAAACUGGCGAGCUAGAGUAGGGCAGAGGGUGGUAGAAUUUCCUGUGUAGCGGUGAAAUGCGUAGAUAUAGGAAAGAACACCAGUGGCGAAGGCGACCACCUGGGCUCAUACUGACACUGAGGUGCGAAAGCGUGGGGAGCAAACAGG